AGCGAACGCUGGCGGCAGGCUUAACACAUGCAAGUCGAGCGGGCACUUUCGGGUGUCAGCGGCGGGCGGGUGAGUAACGCGUGGGAACGUGCCCUCUGGUUCGGAAUAACUCAGGGAAACUUGAGCUAAUACCGGAUACGCCCUUUUGGGGAAAGGCUUGCUGCCGGAGGAUCGGCCCGCGUCUGAUUAGCUAGUUGGUGAGGUAACGGCUCACCAAGGCGACGAUCAGUAGCUGGUCUGAGAGGAUGAUCAGCCACACUGGGACUGAGACACGGCCCAGACUCCUACGGGAGGCAGCAGUGGGGAAUAUUGGACAAUGGGCGCAAGCCUGAUCCAGCCAUGCCGCGUGAGUGAUCAAGGCCUUAGGGUUGUAAAGCUCUUUUAUCCGGGACGAUAAUGACGGUACCGGAGGAAUAAGCCCCGGCUAACUUCGUG
rnacentral:rRNA from 1 species